UUGGUUCUGGUUCCUCAGGCACUCUCUCGCAUAGUGCUGGGCACUACCACAUAUGCGACAGGUGUUGUUGAGGUGGUAGCAUGGUCGGUCCCCGUGAUCCCUGCCACAGUGCUGGCAAAUCUUUCCACGUGCUGCCCUUGGAGCCUGAGGAGGGGCCUGGAUCACUGGUCUGGGCCUCUUAUUUGGUUGGACCGGUGUAGUAGGUGUUGGUCUGCAGGGUGGAGCUGAGGGUCGAUGACUCCCUGCUGACUGAGGACAGGUAUUAAAACUCCUCUACAUAAUCUACGCCUUUGCUAGAAUGGCUGAGUAUGUCUUGAGCUCCAGUACCAAUAAGUGUUGCUUGAUCUCUGGGCGGAGGCCCCACUAAAAUCUCCUAGCCUUCCUGCCCUCAUCCAUCAAUGUCUCCAGGGAGUAUCGGCCCAGCUCUAGGAACUUACUAGCAUAUUCCGAUACCGUCAUGUUUUCCUGGACCAGCUGAACAAACUCCAUCUCCUUUAGGUGUCGGAUGUGCUCAGGGAGAUACUCCGCAUGGAAGGCCGCUAAGAAUUGCUCCCAAGUGGCUGGUGUAGGCAGGGUGGUCUACUUGAGCUCCCACCAGCGACUUGCUUCCCCUACCAGCAUGUAGGAAGUAAGGGCAGCUCUCUACUCAGGAACCACUCCCAAGGUCUUGAAAGCUCUCUCAGUCUCUGCCAACCAGUACUGGGCAUCUUCGAAAGAGGAUCCCCCUGCAAAAGUGGAAGGGUUCAGUCUCCUGUACCACUCUAU
rnacentral:lncRNA from 1 species